UCCAAGGGUCUGAUUAUACCGAAUGUAUGAGCCACGGCUGUCACCGACAGCUUCUAAUUAUUACGAUGUGUUGCCACACUAAAGAUUCCACAUUUCCCAUGGGAGCAAGUUGGACCAUCGGGUUUUACCCUUAGAAGUCACUACCAGGGCCAGGCUCAGAGCUGCAUGUGACCUUAUUGAGGAGUUUAAAACUACCUUGAAAGAUGAAGAUUCAUUUACUAAACUUGGGACAGAUACAGAAGUCAGACACAUUUCUGUGCUGUUUACUAGAAGAAAGAAAAUCCAGUCAUUUGUAGAAGAGGAAGACUGCAGGAAGAAGUGUAUGGAGAACUGGGAAGGAUUGCUCAGAGAAGAUGGGGAGAUGGCCUAGUCAGUAAUACAAGCAUGAAGGCCUGGAUUCAAAUCCCCAGCAACCAGCCUAGCCUAAUCACAGAGGACAAAUGCUGAGGAUGGGAUGAGAUGUGUGAAAGAGGAGUGGGGAGCAACGAUGGAAGACAUCAUGUUCCAAAGUGCACUACCUCAGAGAGCAUCCCAGGGACACACGCCUCCAGUCACAAAACUGAGCUGAUAAAAGUCCAUCUUCCCAUGAUAACUUUCUAGUCAGGCCUCUAGUGCAGCUGAGGCUGUUUCCUCCCUCUCAGACUCAGAGCAUUGCCCUACCUUCCAGCAGGGCUCUGUAUGCUACCAUAGUGUGCAAGACAGGUUCUUCGGAGGGGGGGGGGGAACACCUAUCCAUACAUUUGCACUGCAAUACCCAGGAGACACAAUGUCAAUGACAGUCCAGCUUCUGACUUGCCUUCCUUCAUUGAUCCUGUGUGAGUGGCUUUGCUGUCCUUUCCACCAGGGCACUAGGGCAAGAAUACAGAGGAGGGAGUCUGCCCCCUUCUCCUUCACCUCGCCUGAACAAUUACUCAGCCAGGCUCAUGACCUCCUGUACUUAUAUCUCCUAGGACUGCACACUUUUUUAACCUUCCAUGUCACCAAUUCAGUCUGGCCACUUUGGGUUUUUCCUUAGCUAUUGCUGUCUGACACAGACACUCCCUGCUUUACACUUUUGCCCCAGAGGGCUGCAUACACAAAUCAGAGCACUCUUCCCUUGAAUGCUCCCUCAGGGGCUCCUACCAUUAAGUCUCAAACCCGGGGACAAAUGGCCAGAGGUGCCUAUUUAACAUCAAAGUAAAGCAUACCUGGCCACCAGGUUCUCCCAGCAUCCCUCAGUCCCUAUCUGGUUCAGGGUGUGGCUGGUAUACCUGCCCCCUCCCCUUCUCCAGCCCUGGGCUGCCCUUCCCCCAGCUGCUCCUUCAUAUAUAAUCCAGCCAUUUGGCUAAGACUCUCCUCUGGUCAGUCUCCUGGCCCAGGCCUCUGCUCUUGGCCAGUGGCUCCUUUCCCCCUACCUCCUUGCCUUCUCUGCUCAUGGCUUGGGUCAUGUCUAUUCUGGAGUCUCCCAGAUGUGCCUGCCUCUAGUUAGGCUCUCCCUUUUGUACAAUAAACCUUUUCCACCAUACCUUUCCUUUUUAUUUAUUUUUUUCAUUCACUUAAUACUCUACAUAAAUAUCUGGAGUGACUCAUAAGCCCCUACCCACCAUCUAGGAAACCACUGUUUCUUUCUUUGAUCUCUGACUUUUCAGGGUGUUGCUUCCUUCACAGGUGAUUGCCAGUAAGGUGAGUCACCUCAAUUCCUUACUCCUUGGACUAAAAACUGUGGGGCUGGAGAGAUGGCUCAGCAGUUACUUUUACCCUUCUCACAGAAGACCAAGGUUCAGUUCCCGGCACCAAUACAAUAGCUUACAUCCCACCUGUAAGGGGGUCUAACUCCUGUUUUGGCCUCUGAGGGCAACAGGCAGACAUGUACUACAUAUCUGCAGAAACUCAUUUAUCCACAAACAAUAAAAAUAACUCAAUCUUUUAAAAAAUUAGAAUAGCUAUAACCAAGUAAAUGGUUUGAAAAUAGGCACCCAUUAUGUGUUUGUUGGGUGAAUAAAUAUU
rnacentral:sRNA from 1 species